rnacentral:rRNA from 1 species
UGAAAUAGAUCCUGAAACCGUAUGCGUACAAGCAGUGGGAGCAGACUUGUUCUGUGACUGCGUACCUUUUGUAUAAUGGGUCAGCGACUUAAUUUUAGUAGCAAGGUUAACCGUAUAGGGGAGCCGUAGGGAAACCGAGUCUUAAUAGGGCGUUUAGUUGCUAGGAUUAGACCCGAAACCGAGUGAUCUAGCCAUGAGCAGGUUGAAGAUCAGGUAACACUGAUUGGAGGACCGAACCCACUUAUGUUGAAAAAUGAGGGGAUGACUUGUGGCUAGGAGUGAAAGGCUAAUCAAACUCGGAGAUAGCUGGUUCUCCUCGAAAGCUAUUUAGGUAGCGCCUCGUGUAUCACCCUGGGGGGUAGAGCACUGUUUGGGCUAGGGGGUCAUCCCGACUUACCAACCCCAUGCAAACUCCGAAUA